rnacentral:rRNA from 1 species
CCGGCUAACUCCGUGCCAGCAGCCGCGGUAAUACGGAGGGUGCAAGCGUUGUUCGGAAUUAUUGGGCGUAAAGCGUGCGUAGGCGGAUUAUUAAGUCUGAUGUGAAAUCCCUCGGCUCAACCGAGGACGUGCAUUGGAUACUGGUAGUCUUGAGUCCUGGAGAGGAGAGCGGAAUUCCUAGUGUAGAGGUGAAAUUCGUAGAUAUUAGGAGGAACACCAGUGGCGAAAGCGGCUCUCUGGACGGUGACUGACGCUGAGGCACGAAAGCAUAGGUAGCAAACAGGAUUAGAUACCCUGGUAGUCUAUGCCGUAAACGAUGGGCACUAGUCGGUGCGGGUAUUGACCCCUGCGCUGACGAAGCUAACGCAUUAAGUGCCCCGCCUGGGGAGUACGGCCGCAAGGCUAAAACUCAAAUGAAUUGACGGGGACCCGCACAAGUAGUGGAGCAUGUGGUUUAAUUCGAAGAUACGCGCAGAACCUUACCAACACUCGACAUGUUCGUCGCGACUCUAAGAGAUUAGAGUUUUCGGUUCGGCCGGACGAAACACAGGGGCUGCAUGGCUGUCGUCAGCUCGUGUCGUGAGAUGUUGGGUUAAGUCCCGCAACGAGCGCAACCCUUACUUUUAGUUGCCAUCAUUAAGUUGGGCACUCUGAAAGAACUGCCAGUGAUAAGCUGGAGGAAGGCGAGGAUGACGUCAAGUCCUCAUGGCCCUUACGUGUUGGGCUACACACGUGCUACAAUGGCAUUUACAAUAGGAAGCAAGAUGGCGACGUCAAGCAAAUCCUAAAAAUAUGCCUCAGUUCGGAUUGCACUCUGCAACUCGAGUGCAUGAAGCUGGAAUUACUAGUAAUCGCGGAUCAGCGCGCCGCGGUGAAUACGUUCCCGGGUCUUGUACACACCGCCCGUCACACCAUGGGAGUUGGUUCUACCUUAAGGCAAAGUUUAAAAACUUUGACCACGGUAUAGUCAGCGACUGGGGUGAAGUCGUAACAAGGU